rnacentral:tRNA from 1 species
GGGGUGGUGGUGCAAUUGGCUAGUGCGUAGGUGUCAUAGCUUCUGAGUAAUCCUGAGGUCGAGAGUUCAAACCUCUCUCACCCUA